UACAGAGGUCUCGAGCGUUAGGCGGAAUCACUGGGCUUAAAGCGUGUGUAGGCGGAUCGUUAAGUGCCUUGUGAAAUCCCACGGCUCAACCGUGGAACUGCUUGGCAUACUGGCGGUCUUGAGCAACCUAGGGGCGAGCGGAACAAAUGGUGGGGCGGUGAAAUGCGUAGAUAUCAUUUGGAACGCCAAUGGUGAAAACAGCUCGCUGGGGGUUUGCUGACGCUGAGACACGAAAGCCAGGGGAGCAAACGGG
rnacentral:rRNA from 1 species